rnacentral:rRNA from 1 species
CGUAGGCGGCAAGCGUUAUCCGGAAUUAUUGGGCGUAAAGAGCGCACAGGUGGUUGAUUAAGUCUGAUGUGAAAGCCCACGGCUUAACCGUGGAGGGUCAUUGGAAACUGGUCGACUUGAGUGCAGAAGAGGGAAGUGGAAUUCCAUGUGUAGCGGUGAAAUGCUUAGAGAUCACACAGAAUAUCGAUUGCGAAGGCAGCUCACAAAGCCAAGAUUGACGCUGAGGCACGAAAGUGUGGGGAUCAAACA